rnacentral:rRNA from 1 species
CACGUAGGGUGCGAGCGUUUGUCCGGAAUUAUUGGGCGUAAAGAGUUCGUAGGCGGUGUGUCGCGUCGGCCGUGAAAACCUGCAGCUUAACUGUGGGCUUGCGGUCGAUACGGGCAUCACUGGAGUUCGGCAGGGGAGACUGGAAUUCCUGGUGUAGCGGUGAAAUGCGCAGAUAUCUGGAGGAAUACCGGUGGCGAAGGCGGCAUCCUGGACCGGCAUUGA